AUUGAACGCUGGCGGCAGGCCUAACACAUGCAAGUCGAGCGAGCGGCGGACGGGUGAGUAAUGUCUGGGAACCUGCCUGAUGGAGGGGGAUAACUACUGGAAACGGUAGCUAAUACCGCAUACCAUCAGAUAUGCCCAGAUGGAAUUAGCUAGUAGGUGGGGUAAUGGCUCACCUAGGCGACGAUCCCUAGCUGCUCUGAUAGGAUGACCAGACACCCUGGAACUGCGGCACGGUCCAUACUCCUACGAGAGGCAACAGUGGGGAAUAUUGCACAAUGGGCGCAAGCCUGAUGCAGCCAUGCCGCGUGUGUGAAGAAGGCCAUCGGGUUGUAAAGCAAAUUCAGCGGGGAGGCGUUACCCGAAGAAGAAGCACCGGCUGACUCCGUGGCAGCAGCCGCGGUAGUAC
rnacentral:rRNA from 1 species